UACGUAGGUGGCAAGCGUUGUCCGGAUUUACUGGGCGUAAAGAGCGCGCAGGCGGUCGUUCAAGUCGCGUGUGAAAGCCCCCGGCUCAACUGGGGAGGGUCACGCGAUACUGAUCGACUCGAAGGCAGGAGAGGGUAGUGGAAUUCCCGGUGUAGUGGUGAAAUGCGUAGAUAUCGGGAGGAACACCCGUGGCGAAGGCGGUUCUCUGGGACGGUACUGACGCUGAGACGCGAAAGCGUGGGGAGCGAACAGG
rnacentral:rRNA from 1 species